rnacentral:misc_RNA from 1 species
AACGCACCUUGCGCUCCUUGGUAUUCCGAGGAGCAUGCCUAUUUGAGUGUCUUGAUAUCAUCAACCCUCACCGUUUUGCACGGUUGCGGGUUGGAGCUGGGGGCUUGCUGCCGAAAGGCGGCUCCCCUCAAAUGCCUCGGUUGGGCCUGUGGGUCGGACUCGAUUGGGCGUUGUACCAUCCUCGCUCUAAUGAGAUGUUCCCCUUAUGCGCCCUUCCACGACCUGCCGUUCGAGUGGCGGUCAAGCUAACUUUGAAAUUUGGCCUCAAAUCAGGUAGGACUACCCGCUGAACUUAA